CACUUGCAUAUCCUUCAUGUUGUACGGCAUGUUGUUGAUCUGGUUUUGGUGGUAGUGGAGGAGGUGUUGGCAGUGGAGGAGGUGUUGUAGGUACAUUUUGGGCUUUCCCUCUACCACGUCAGUUUCCUUGAACCGGCAACGCUUCAUCACCUACACAUCUUCCUCAAUAGCUCCAAGAGGCAAAUCACCAACUUCAUGGUUACCUGCCCUGCCAUUAGUAACCUACAACAAGCACACACAAAUUAAAGUAUUACGAAAAAAAAAAGAUAAAAACUCAAGAAAACACACAAUAACAAAGUAGUACAAGAACGUCGUACUCCCCAGCAGCCGCCAACAUUGAUGACAUCCAAUCAUAUACUUCUAACUGAAGUGCAGACGGUCGUUAGAAAUAAUAAACCCAGCUAGGUUGGAAUUGAAUCCCACAUGGAAUCCCACAUGGAAUAGGUGUGCUAAGGUGUUCAAAUGUGUGUAAACUUGAUAAUUCUUAAAGUAAUUUUCAAACAAAAAAGUGGAUGAUCAAUUACAUCUAAAAUUACUACUAAGACUAAGCUAGGAAUUUUAUCGAGCACAUAAAAUGCAAGUAAAAAUGAUUUUGUUUUCUAGUAAGAGAAGGACCGGGUUGUAACCUCAAUAUGAUAUAAUUAGUUCAUGGGUAUACUUAACUUGCCUAAAUACUUUGGAUUAGUUAUUAUGGUCCAAUUGCUAGCUACCCACUAGAAUUUUCUAACUCUAGCAAGCUUAUCUCUAAAGAGUUCUUCCAAACCAAAGGAAUGCAUUAAACCCCAAUUUAUAAUGACCCAAGUAAAAAUCUCCUUAUUCCUAAUAUGAUUUCAUUAAUCAAGCUUCAUUAAUUCUUUAAUAAUUUCAAAUCCUUGUUACUUGUUAAUUACCCGGUCCAAUUUCCACCUUUCCAAGCAAGAAAUAGAUAAUAAAGGACUCAAUCUAGUAUUUACAACCACCAAAUUAAUAUUAAAACAUGCAAACAAUUGGAUAAUCACAACCCAAGUAAUAAUAAACAAGAUAUCAAACACCCAUUCACCUUAAUGCCAUAAGAGUUUACAACCCUAGCUAUAAAAGCUUAGUUACUCAUGCUAAAGAUAAAAAACUAUAGGUUCAAAUGAAUAGAUAAACAUGAUUCGAAACAAAAUAAGUGAGAAAAUUCAAGCGCAACGAUGGAGAUCCUCAAAUCAUUCCAAAAGAGCUAAAGGCUGCGGUAGAAUAUUAGAAUAUUCAAAGGAAUGAAAGAUGACCUACGAAAAUCAGCUAAGAAUCUAUCGUCUGAAACCUGUGACAAAAUCGCCCUGUGGUCACAAUCGUGGAACCGAUUGAUGAUCAUCUCCACGUUUUGCUUUAAUACUUUAGUUGUAGGUUAAGCUUCAGGUGACUUCAUGGCCUUGUUCGUGGAGCCAAUGAUGUUCGUGGAGCCACUGAUGCUUGUGGCCUGGUUCGUGGGCUGAAUCGUGGAGCC
rnacentral:lncRNA from 1 species